rnacentral:rRNA from 1 species
GACGAACGCUGGCGGCGUGCUUAACACAUGCGAGUCGAACGGAAAGGCCCUGCUUUUGUGGGGUGCUCGAGUGGCGAACGGGUGAGUAACACGUGAGUAACCUGCCCUUGACUUUGGGAUAACUUCAGGAAACUGGGGUUAAUACCGGAUAGGAGCUCCUGCUGCAUGGUGGGGGUUGGAAAGUUUCGGCGGUUGGGGAUGGACUCGCGGCUUAUCAGCUUGUUGGUGGGGUAGUGGCUUACCAAGGCUUUGACGGGUAGCCGGCCUGAGAGGGUGACCGGCCACAUUGGGACUGAGAUACGGCCCAGACUCCUACGGGAGGCAGCAGUGGGGAAUAUUGCACAAUGGGCGGAAGCCUGAUGCAGCAACGCCGCGUGCGGGAUGACGGCCUUCGGGUUGUAAACCGCUUUCGCCUGUGACGAAGCGUGAGUGACGGUAAUGGGUAAAGAAGCACCGGCUAACUACGUG